UCCUUCCCUCUGACUCAGAGGGAGGUGGGUGCAAAGGAUGGGCUGUGGGGUGGACGUUCAACAAAGCCAAGGGGGUGCGUUCAGAGGGGGAAUUGAUCUGGAUAGGUUGGACAGCCGGGCUGAAGCCAAUGGGAUGGGAUUCAACAAGACCAACUGCCGGGUCCUGCACUUUGGCCGCAAUAACCCCAGGCAGCGCUACAGGCUUGGGGCAGAGUGGCUGGAAGGCUGUGUAGAGGAAAUGGAGCUGGGGGUGUUGACUGACACUAGGCUGAACAUGAGCCAGCAGUGUGCCCAG
rnacentral:lncRNA from 1 species